rnacentral:SRP_RNA from 14 species
UCAGGGCCGGAAGGAAGCAAUCAUGCUCG